GUUGAGGUAGGAGGAUACCUUGAGCCCAGGAGUUCUGGGCUGUGUUGUGCUAUGCUGAUUGGGUGUCUGCAACGCCACCCACAGUGGUGAUCCAGUGUCAGCACUAAGUUCAGCAUCAAUAUGGUGACCUAUCAGGAGUGGAGGAUCACUAGGUUGUCUAAGGAGGGUGAACUGGUCCAGGUCAAAAACAGAGCAGAUCAAAACUCCUGUCCUGAUGGGUAGUGAGAUCUCUGAAUAGCCACUACACUCUAGCCUGGACAAUAUAGUAAGACCCAUA
rnacentral:SRP_RNA from 10 species